rnacentral:rRNA from 1 species
UACAGAGGUCCCGAGCGUUGUUCGGAUUCACUGGGCGUAAAGGGUGCGUAGGUGGUUGGGCAAGUCUGAUGUGAAAUCUCCGGGCUUAACCCGGAAAUGGCAUUGGAAACUGCUUGGCUAGAGUGUUGGAGGGGGGACUGGAAUUCUCGGUGUAGCAGUGAAAUGCGUAGAUAUCGAGAGGAACACCAGUGGCGAAGGCGAGUCCCUGGACAACGACUGACACUGAGGCACGAAAGCGUGGGGAGCAAACAGG